rnacentral:rRNA from 1 species
UACGUAGGUGGCAAGCGUUGUCCGGAAUUAUUGGGCGUAAAGCGCGCGCAGGCGGUCUCUUAAGUCUGAUGUGAAAGCCCACGGCUCAACCGUGGAGGGUCAUUGGAAACUGGGGGACUUGAGUGCAGAAGAGGAAAGCGGAAUUCCACGUGUAGCGGUGAAAUGCGUAGAGAUUUGGAGGAACACCAGUGGCGAAGGCGACUUUCUGGUCUGUAACUGACGCUGAGGCGCGAAAGCGUGGGGAGCGAACAGG